rnacentral:lncRNA from 1 species
UUAAUUUUAUUUAGUUUAAAUUUCCCUUUAUCUUUUGCAGAUUUGUUAUUGACGUGAAAAAGAUGGAGUUCAAAGUGAAAUUACACAGUUAAUUUCUCAAUCUCUGGUAGCUGACCGUGAAAGAGAAACUGAACGGCCCAGUAGUGACUUUGCUUUUGAUAAUAGACUACAAGCAAUUGGAGCACAUGGAGUGUGACUACAGAAAAUGGUUAGACAUGGCUCAAUGUUAAGUUGAAGAACUAAGUCUUAGUUUACAGAAUUUGAACAAGAGCUGUUGCAAAGCAAAAGUGACUUAGAUGCAUUACAAUGCAAAUAUUCAACACUUGAAAAGAAAUACAGCAGAGCCAAGAAAUAUAUAAAAGAGUUUCAAAAAAGAGAAAAAGAGCUCAUUCAGUGGCAAGAGUAUCAUGUUCAACAACUGCAAGAGAAAGAUCAAGAAUAUAAUGCUUUGGUAAAAGCUCUAAAGGACAGGGUAAUAAUGCUUGAACAGACUCUUGUGGUGACUCAAAAGCAAGCAGGUUUUCCAACUGGUCUUCCUUAUAAUACACCUUUAAAGCCGAUCACUCCACAAUGUAGAAAUCUUGUCAGCCCACCUAAAUUUUUAAGUAAAUUUUUUAGUUUUCUCUUUUCACUUUAUAAUUAAUCUUUCAUUCCUCGUGCUGCUGUAUUUUUCUCCCCACCAUAGUAUUUUCACUGUAGUGCAAGUAAUUAUGAUCUUGUAGUAUUGCGUAAUCAUAAAGCUAUGAUAGGAAUUUUGACAUCAAAAGAUAUUUUUAAUGUAUAGUAAAAGUCUGUUCUAUCAACAAUUCAGAAAAGUAGCUGAAAUCCUUGUUAUAACCAAAUACAUAUAUUUAAUGUUAAAAUAGCAAUUAAAGUGAAUUAGACAUAUUAACCUCUUUUUUUGUGUUUUGAACAAUGUAGAUUUAA